ACGAAGAUAACAAGAGAAAUAUCUGCACAAAGGGGUUUAGCUGAUGAACCCUACCCAAAGUCAAUCAUUUUCUCAUCUUCAAACUUCAUUUACCCAUUUCCAAGCCCAACAAGGAGUGACUUCCUACACCAGAGUUAAUGGAUAAAGACUUUUUGGCAAGGGGUGAAGUUUUCAGGACACUCCAGGAUUCUCUCAACUAUAAACAUCGCUACAAUCAUGAGCUCAUGGAUAUUCCCUUAUGCUGAUUCACUAGCUGCUUCCAUUUCUUGAAGAGAAUAUAAUGUUGCUUUUGCAAAGCAGCCGAAAAUAUCUUAGGUUUAUUUUGAUUAGGUAUCCGACCGGUUAUGGCUUCUUUAGGGGAAGUCUUGGAACUGAAACGUUGACUUUAGCUCCAGAGUUAACGAAUGUCGACCUCCUCCAUCGUUGGACUGCCUUGUAGUCAAGACUCUUUGUUCGAUUUCUUGGACACAUUUGAAGAAUGGUUCCCGUCCCUCAACUUAAUUAUUUAACCAAGAUAUCUCGUUGGCUGUA